GGACGAACGCUGGCGGCGUGCUUAACACAUGCAAGUCGAACGAUGAAGGAGGAGCUUGCUCCUCUGGAUUAGUGGCGAACGGGUGAGUAACACGUGAGCAAUCUGCCCUUGACUCUGGGAUAAGCGCUGGAAACGGCGUCUAAUACCGGAUACGACCCUCGGAGGCAUCUCCUGUGGGUGGAAAGAACUUCGGUCAAGGAUGAGCUCGCGGCCUAUCAGCUUGUUGGUGAGGUAAUGGCUCACCAAGGCGACGACGGGUAGCCGGCCUGAGAGGGUGACCGGCCACACUGGGACUGAGACACGGCCCAGACUCCUACGGGAGGCAGCAGUGGGGAAUAUUGCACAAUGGGCGCAAGCCUGAUGCAGCAACGCCGCGUGAGGGACGACGGCCUUCGGGUUGUAAACCUCUUUUAGCAGGGAAGAAGCGAGAGUGACGGUACCUGCAGAAAAAGCACCGGCUAACUACGUGCCAGCAGCCGCGGUAAUACGUAGGGUGCAAGCGUUGUCCGGAAUUAUUGGGCGUAAAGAGCUCGUAGGCGGUCUGUCGCGUCUGCUGUGAAAACCCGAGGCUCAACCUCGGGCUUGCAGUGGGUACGGGCAGACUAGAGUGCGGUAGGGGAGAUUGGAAUUCCUGGUGUAGCGGUGGAAUGCGCAGAUAUCAGGAGGAACACCGAUGGCGAAGGCAGAUCUCUGGGCCGUAACUGACGCUGAGGAGCGAAAGCGUGGGGAGCAAACAGGCUUAGAUACCCUGGUAGUCCACGCCGU
rnacentral:rRNA from 1 species